rnacentral:lncRNA from 1 species
AGCGCAGGAGCGGAGGCGGGAUCGAGAGCGAGGACAUGGUCAGGAGCGGGGCAUUGCGCGGGGCGAGCGGGCGAGCGUGGCUUGGAUCUUGAGGGGAGGGGAGGCUGCUGGGUGGUGCUUACGUCGGCGGCGGAGUGGGGGCGGGGCGGGCGNCGGGGCGGGGCGGGGGGAGGGCCGGGGGAGCUGACGGGAGUGGAGGGGGACGAAGCUCCCAGCACAGCCUGGCCGCGCGCCCCGCGUGCGUGACGUGACGUGAUGGACUCGUGCACAGCCACUUCGCCCGGAGCAGAAAUAGGUGGUGCCACGGCGACGAGCACACCGGCUCAAAAAAAAGAAAGGCGGGUGUGGAUUUUAUUCUUUUACUAAUGUGUCACAUAUGUCAUUGCUAAUGAUGGUGAUUCACACACUCCCCUCACCCCUCCCCGCGUCGUCUCCUCUAAGGCGAUAACCCUAGCCGUCGUCGUCGCGCCCCUCCCCCCCCCUCCAUCCCCUCCCCCNNNNNNNNNNNNNNNNNNNNNNNNNNNNNNNNNNNNNNNNNNNNNNNNNNNNNNNNNNNNNNNNNNNNNNNNNNNNNNNNNNNNNNNNNNNNNNNNNNNNNNNNNNNNNNNNNNNNNNNNNNNNNNNNNNNNNNNNNNNNNNNNNNNNNNNNNNNNNNNNNNNNNNNNNNNNNNNNNNNNNNNNNNNNNNNNNNNNNNNNNNNNNNNNNNNNNNNNNNNNNNNNNNNNNNNNNNNNNNNNNNNNNNNNNNNNNNNNNNNNNNNNNNNNNNNNNNNNNNNNNNNNNNNNNNNNNNNNNNNCCUCCCCCUCCGUCGCCGCCUGAGGUGUGCUCCGGUGAGCGCGCUCCACACCGAUGAAGGUGGCGGCGAGGAUCUGGCGGUUCCACAACACGCAGAGGGCCUCGGCAUCUCGGGUGGUGACCACGGGUGGCGUGUGCAAGGUGGACAUGGCGGCGGGGUCGCCUCUGUUGGUGCUAGUGUUGGGGCGCCCUUGGUCAUGCGGGUGACGAGGCGUCGGCGACCCUCGGUUGCUGGUGUGCACCACUCCCCGCAGGUUUGCCACCGCCGAGGAAGCCCACCCCCUCCACCUCGAUCUGCUCCUUCCAACACCGGAUCGGGGUCCUAGUGGCUUAGGUCGCUGCUCCCGGUUGCUGGUUGUGCGGAUCUCGUUUGGUGGGGGAACCCGUGCCGACGCGGCGGCCACACCAAAGGCGACGCCUUGGGCACCGUUCCCCUCAUUGGAGGUUGUGGUGUGGAUCCUCUCCCCCUCCUUUCGUCCCCUGCUAGGUGAAAACUUAGGUCCCCUGCUUUGGGUGGUGACGGCACGUCUGUGUCGUAUUUCUUCUGUUGGAAAUAUGCCCUNNNNNNNNNNNNNNNNNNNNNNNNNNNNNNNNNNNNNNNNNNNNNNNNNNNNNNNNNNNNNNNNNNNNNNNNNNNNNNNNNNNNNNNNNNNNNNNNNNNNNNNNNNNNNNNNNNNNNNNNNNNNNNNNNNNNNNNNNNNNNNNNNNNNNNNNNNNNNNNNNNNNNNNNNNNNNNNNNNNNNNNNNNNNNNNNNNNNNNNNNNNNNNNNNNNNNNNNNNNNNNNNNNNNNNNNNNNNNNNNNNNNNNNNNNNNNNNNNNNNNNNNNNNNNNNNNNNNNNNNNNNNNNNNNNNNNNNNNNNNNNNNNNNNNNNNNNNNNNNNNNNNNNNNNNNNNNNNNNNNNNNNNNNNNNNNNNGUCCCUAGCAAGCCUCUAGUUGGCUAGCUAGUUGAUCAAGGAUGGUCAAGGUUUUUUGACCAUAUGCAAGUGUUAUCACUUGAUAACUGGAUCACAUCAUUAGGAGAAUCAUGUGAUGGACUAGACCCAAACUAUAAACGUAGCAUAUGAUCGUGUCAUUUUGUUGCUAUCGUUUUCUGCGUGUCAAGUAUUUAUUCCUAUGACCAUGAGAUCAUAUAACUCACUGACACCGGAGGAAUACCUUGUGUGUAUCAAACGUCGGAACGUAACUGAGUGACUAUACAGGUGCUCUACAGGUAUCUCCGAAGGUGUCCGUUGAGUUAGUAUGGAUCAAGAAUGGGAUUUGUCACUCCGUGUGACGGAGAGGUAUCUCGGGGCCCACUUGGUAAUACAACAUCACAAACAAGUCUUGCAAGCAAUGUGACUAAGUGUAAGUCACGAGAUCUUGUAUUACGGAACGAGUAAAGGGAAUUGCUGGUAACGAGAUUGAAAUAGGUAUACGGAUACCGACGAUCGAAUCUCAGGCAAGUAACAUACCGAAUGACAAAGGGAAUGACAUACGGGAUUAUAUGAAUCCCUGGCAUUGAGGUUCAACCGAUAAGAUCUUCGGAGAAUAUGUAGGAUCCAAUAUGGGCAUACAGGAACCGCUAUUGGAUAUUGACCGAGGAGUGUCUCGGGUCAUGUCUACAUAGUUCUCGAACCCGCAGGGUUUGCACACUUAAGGUUCGAUGAUGUUUUAGUAUAGUUGAGUUAUAUGUGUGGUUGCCGAAUGUUGUUCGGAGUCCCGGAUGAGAUCACAGACAUCACGAGGGUUUCCGGAAUGGUCCGGAAACGAAGAAUGAUAUAUAGGAUGGUUUCAUUUGGUCACCAAAAAGUUUCGGGCAUUACCAGCAGUGUACAGGGAGUGACGAAUGGGUUCCGGGUAUUCACCGGGAGGGGCCCACCCACCCGGGAGUGAGCCCAAUGACCCUAGGGUGGCGCACCAGCCCUUAGUGGGCUGGUGAGGCCAUCCCAAUAGGGCGAUGGUGCCACAAGUGGAAAAACACCAAAGGAAAGGGGGGAAAAGGAAAGAGGGAGGUGGGAAGGAAGGAGUGGACUCAUUCCCCCAAACCGAAUUAGAGUGGGAGUCCACCUCCUCCCCUUUGGUCGGCGCACCUUGGGGCUCCUUGAGCCCCAAGGCUAGCCCCUCCCCUCCUCCUAUAUAUACUGGUGGUUUUAAGGCUUUUGAGACACAACUUUGCCACGUGCAACUCAAAUCUAUACCACGUAGUUUUACCUCUAUAUCGGAUUUCUACGGAGCUCGGGCGGAGCCCUGCAGGAGUAGAUCAUCACCACCACCGGAGAGCUGCCACACUGCCGGAGAACUCAUCUACUUCUCCAUCUCUCUUGCUGGAUCAAGAAGGCCGAGAUCGUCAUCGAGCUGUACGUGUGCUGAAUGCGGAGGUGCCGUCCGUUUGGCGCUAGAUCGAAACAGAUCAUGGGACGGAUCGUGGGACGACGGUGAUUUGAAUCACGAAGCUAUACCACUACAUCAACCACGUUUCUUAACGCUUCCCGCUUAGCGAUCUACAAGGGUACGUAGAUCUAAUCUCCUCUUGUAGAUGGACAUCACCAUGAUAGGUCUUCGUGUGCGUAGGAAAAUUUUUGUUUCGCAUGCAACGUUCCCCAACAAUGGCAUCAUGAGCUAGGUUCAUGCGUAGAUGUUAUCUCGAGUAGAACACAAAAGGUUUUGUGGAUGUUGAUGUUCGAUUUGCUGCCCUCCUUAUUCUUUUCUUGAUUUCGUGGUAUUGUUGGAUUGAAGCGGCCCGGACCGACAUUACUCGUAUGCUUACGAGAGACUGGUUUCAUCGACUCACAUGCAACUCGUUGCAUAAAGAUGACUAGCGGGUGUCGGUUUCUUCAACUUUAGUUGAAUUGGUUUUAACCGAGGCGGUCCUUGGAGAGAGGUUAAAUAGCAAUUUGCACAUCUCCGUUGUGGUUUUUGCGUAAGUAAGAUGCGAUCAUACUAGAUACCUAUAGCAGCCACGUAAAACAUGCAACAACAAAUUAGAGGACGUCUAACUUGUUUUUGCAGGGUAUGCUUGUGAUAUGAUAUGGCCAAUGACGUGAUGUGAUAUAUUGGAUGUAUGAGAUGAUCAUGUUGUAAUAGUUAAUAUCGACUUCCACGUCGAUGCUACGACAACCGACAGGAGCUAUAGGGUUGUCUUUAAACUAACAUUUGUGUUUGCAGAUGCGUUUACUAUAUUGCUAGGUCGUAGCUUUAGUAGUAAUAGCAUAGAUAGCAUGACAACUUCGAUGGCGGCACGAUGAUGGAGAUCAUGAUGAUGGAUAUCAUGGUGUGGCGCCGGUGACAAGAAGAUUAUGUCGGUGCUUUGGUGAUGGAGAUCAAGAAGCACAAGAUGAGGCCAUAUCAUGUCACUUAUGAAUUGCAUGUGAUGUUAAUCCUUUUAUGCACCUUAUUUUGCAUAGAACGACGGUAGCAUUAUAAGGUGAUCUCUCACUAAAAUUUCAAGAUGAAAUUGUGUUCUCCCCGACUGUGCACCGUGGCGACAAUUCGUCGUUUCGAGACACCACGUGAUGAUCGGGUGUGAUCGACUCAACGUUCACAUACAACGGGUCCAAAACAGUUGCACACGUGGAACACUCGUGUUAAACUUGACGAGCCUAGCAUGUGCAGACAUGGCCUCGGAACACAUGAGACCGAAAGGUCGAGCAUGAAUCGUAUAGUUGAUAUGAUCAGCAUAGAGAUGCUUACCACUAAAACUAUUCUCAACUCACGUGAUGCUCGGACUUGAGUUAGUGAAUUUGGAUCAUGUACCACUCAAAUGACUAGAGAUAUGUAAUUUUUGAGUGGGAGUUUAUUAGUAAUUUGAUUAGUUAAACUCUAAUUAUCUUAAACAUAGUCUAAGUCCACUUUGCAAUAUUUGUGUUGUAGAUCAAUGGCUCACGCAGUAGCAACCCUGAAUUUUAAUACGUUCCUAGAGAAAGCUAAGUUGAAAGAUGAUGGAAGCAACUUUGUAGACUGGGCUCGUAAUCUAAAGCUGCUCCUACAAGCUGGGAAGAAGGAUUGUGUCCUUAAUGCUGCGCUAGGAGAUGAACCACCCGCUACGUCUAGCCAAGAUGUUUUGAACGAGUGGUUAACACGUAAGGAGGACUACUCAGUAGUUCAAUGUGUAGUCUUGUAUGGCUUGGAACCGGGACUUCAACGUCACUUUGAGCGUCAUGGAGCAUAUGAGAUACUAGAGCAGUUGAAGUUUAUCUUUUAGAAGAACGCACAGAUCGAGAGGUAUGAGACCUUCGAUAAAUUAUAUGCUUGCAAGAUGGAGGAGAAUUCGUCUGUUAGUGAACAUGUGCUCAAAAUGUCUGGAUACUCAAACCGUCUAGCUGAGCUGGGGAUUGAACUCCCACAAGAGGCUAUCACUGAUAGAAUUAUUCAAUCACUGCCACCUAGCUAUAAGAGCUUUGUGUUGAACUAUAACAUGCAAGGGAUGAACAAGUCACCUCGCGAGUUAUUCGCGAUGCUGAAAGUCACAGAGUCAGAACUCCGGAAAGAGCAUCAAGUGUUGAUGGUCAAUAAGACCACUGGUUUCAAGAGAAACGACAAAGGCAAGAAGGGUAACUCCAAGAAGAGCGGCAAGCCUGUUGCCAAUCCGACGAAGAAACCCAAGGAUGGACCUAAGCCUGAAACAGAGUGUUACUAUUGCAAGGGAAUGGGUCACUAGAAGCGCAACUGCCCCAAGUAUUUGGCUGAUAAGAAGGCGGCCAAGGAAAAAUCAGGUAUAUUUGAUAUAGAUGUUAUUGAUGUGUACUUAACCAACUCUCGUAGUAGUGCCUGGGUAUUUGAUACGGGUUCUGUUGCUCAUAUUUGCAACUCGAAGCAGGAACUGCGGAAUAAACAAAGGAUGGCGAAAGGACGAAGUGACGAUGCGCGUGGGAAAUGGUUCCAAGGUUUAUGCAAUCGCCGUCGGCAUAGUCUCACUUCAGUUACCAUCAGGAUUAGUUAUGAACUUAAAUAAUUUUUAUUUAGUGCCUGCGUUAAGCAUGAACAUUAUAUAUGGAUCUUGUUUAUUGCGAGACGGUUACUCGUUUAAGUCAGAGAAUAAUGGUUGUUCUAUUUCUAUGAGUAAUAUCUUUUAUGGUCAUGCACCCAAUGUGUGACGAUUGUUCAUAUUGAAUCUUGAUAGCAAUGAUACACAUAUACAUAACAUUGAGACCAAAAGAUGUAGAGUUAACAAUGAUAGCGCCAUGUUUUUGUGGCACUGCCGCUUAGGUCAUAUUUGUGUAAAGCGCAUGAAGAAACUCCAUUCCGAUGGGCUUUUGGAGUCACUUGAUUUUGAAUCACUUGACACGUGCGAACCAUGCCUCAUGGGCAAGAUGACUAAGACUCCGUUCUCCGGAACAAUGGAGCGUGCAAGUGACUUGCUGGAAAUCAUACAUACCGAUGUGUGCGGUCCGAUGAGUGUGGAGGCGCGCGGCGGAUAUCGUUAUUUUCUCACCUUCACUGACGAUUUGAGUAGGUAUGGAUAUAUCUACUUGAUGAAGCACAAGUCUGAAACGUUUUAGAAGUUCAAGGAAUUUCAGAGUGAAGUUGAAAAUCAUCGUAACAAGAAGAUCAAGUUCCUACGUUCUGAUCGUGGGGGUGAAUAUCUGAGUUUCGAGUUUGGUGCUCACCUAAGACAAUGUGGAAUUGUUUCACAGUCAACACCGCCUGGAACACCACAACGUAAUGGUGUGUCCGAACGUCGUAAUCGUACUUUGUUAGAAAUGGUGCGACCUAUGAUGUCUCUUACCGAUUUGCCGUUAUCGUUUUGGGGUUAUGCAUUAGAGACAACUGCAUUCACUUUAAAUAGGGCACCAUCAAAAUCCGUUGAGACGACACCAUACGAGCUGUAGUAUGGCAAAAGACUAAAGUUGUCGUUUCUUAAAGUUUGGGGAUGUGAUGCUUAUGUCAAAAAACUUCAGCCUGAAAAGCUGGAACCCAAAGCGGAAAAGUGCGUCUUCAUAGGUUACCCAAAGGAGACAGUUGGGUACACCUUCUAUCUCAAAACCGAGGGCAAAGUGUUUGUUGCUAAGAACGGAGCUUUUCUUGAGAAGGAGUUUCUCUCGAAAGAAUUGAGUGGGAGGAAGAUAGAACUUGAUGAGGUUGUCGAACCUCUAAUCCCUCUAGAUGGUGGCACAAGGCAGGGGAACCUUUGUCGAAGCGAUGCCGGUUGAGGAGGAAGUUAAUGAUGAUGAUCAUGAAACUUCGGAUCAAGUUCCUAUCGGACCUCGCAGGUCGACAAGAUCACGUACUACUCCUGAGUGGUACGGUAAUAUUGGCUUAUCAAUCAUGUUGUUAGACAACAAUGAACCUGCGAAUUAUGAAGAAGCAAUGGUGGGCCCGGAUUCCAACAAAUGGCUGGAGGCCAUGAAGUACGAUAUAGGAUCUAUGUAUGAAAACAAAGUGUGGACUUUGGAAGUAUUACCUGAAGGCCGCAAGGCUAUUCAGAACAAAUGGAUCUUUAAGAAGAAGACGGACGCAUACGGUAAUGUGACCGUUUAUAAAGCUCGACUUGUGGCAAAGGGUUUUUCACAAGUUCAAGGAGUUGACUACGAUGAGACAUUCUCACCGGUAGCGAUGCUUAAGUCCGUCGGAAUCAUGUUAGCAAUAGCUACAUAUUUCGAUUAUGAAAUCUGGCAGAUGGAUGUCAAAACGGCGUUCCUUAACGGUUUUCUUAAGGAAGAGUUGUAUAUGAUGCAACACGAAGGUUUUGUCGAUCCAGAGAAUGCUAGCAAAGUAUGCAAGCUCCACCGAUCCAUUUAUGGACUGGUGCAAGCAUCUCGGAGUUGGAAUAAGCGCUUUGAUGAGGUGAUCAAAGCAUUUGGGUUUACACAAGUGGUUGGAGAAUCUUGUAUUUACAAGAAAGUGAGUGGGAGCUUUGUGGCAUUUCUAAUAUUACAUUUAUAUUUGGAUGACAUAUUGCUGAUUGCAAAUGACGUGGGGUUUUUUGGAGAGCGUAAAGGAUUACUUGAAUAAAAGUUUCUCUAUGAAGGACCUAGGAGAAGCUGCUUACAUUCUAGGCAUUAAGAUCUAGAGGGAUAGAUCGAGAUGUCUGAUAGGACUUUCACAAAGCACAUACCUUGAUAAAGUUUUGAAGAAGUUCAAAAUGGAACAGUCCAAGAAGGGGUUCUUGUCAGUGUUACAAGGUAUAAAAUUGAGUAAGACUCAGUGCCCAGCAACUGCGGAAGAUAGAGAACAGAUGAGUUCCGUCCCCUAUGCUUCAGUCAUAGGUUUUGUCAUGUAUGCAAUGUUAUGCACUAGACCGGACGUCAGCUUGGCCAUAAGUAUGGCAGGCAGGUUUCAAAGUAAUCCAGGAGUGGAUCACUGGAUGACGGUCAAUAAUAUUCUGAAGUACCUUAAAAGGACUAAGGAAAUGUUUCUCGUUUAUGGAGGUGACGAAGAGCUCGUCGUAAAGGGUUACGUCGACGCAAGCUUUGACACUAAUCCGGAUGACUCUAAGUCUCAAACCAGAUACAUAUUUAUUCUUAAUGGGGGUGCGGUAAGCUGGUGCAGUUCCAAGCAAAGCAUCAUAGCAGAUUCUACAUGUGAAGCGGAGUACAUGGUUGCCUCAGAGGCAGCUAAGGAGGGUGUCUGGAUGAAGCAGUUCAUGAGGGAUCUUGGAGUUGUGCCGAGCGCACUAAAUCCAAUAACUAUGUUCUGUGACAACACUGGUGCCAUUGCUUUAGCAAAGAAACCAAGGUUUCACAAGAAGACCAGGCACAUCAAACGACGCUUCAACCUCAUCCACGACUACGUCGAAGGAGAGGACGUAAAUAUUUGCAAAGUGCACACGGAUCUGAAUGUAGCAGAUCCGCUGACUAAACCUCUUCCACGGGCAAAACAUGAUCAACACCAGAAAUGUAUGGGUGUUAGAUUUAUUACAAUGUAAAUCGCAUGGCGAUGUGAGGACUAGAUUAUUGACUCUAGUGCAAGUGGGAGACUGUUGGAAAUAUGCCCUAGAGGCAAUGAUAAAAUAGUUAUUACUAUAUUUCCUGUUUUAAGAUAAUCGUUUAUUAUCCAUGCUAUAAUUGUAUUGAAUGAAAACAUAGAUACAUAUGUGGAUACAUAGACAAAACAAUGUCCCUAGCAAGCCUCUACUUGGCUAGCCAGUUGAUGAAGGAUGGUCAAGGUUUUCUGACCAUAUGCAAAUGUUGUCACUUGAUAACUGGAUCACAUCAUUAGGAGAAUCAUGUGAUGGACUAGACCCAAACUAUAAACGUAGCAUGUGAUCGUGUCAUUUUGUUGCUAUUGUUUUCUGUGUGUCAAGUAUUUAUUCCUAUGACCAUGAGAUCAUAUAACUCACUGACACUAGAGGAAUACCUUGUGUGUAUAAAACGUGGCAACGUAACUGGGUGACUAUAAAGGUGCUCUACAAGUAUCUCCGAAGGUGUCUGUUAGUUAGUAUGGAUCAAGACUGGGAUUUGUCACUCCGUGUGACGGAGAGGUAUCUCGGGGCCCACUCGAUAAUACAACAUCACAAACAAGCCUUGAAAGCAAUGUGACUAAGUGUAAGUCACAGGAUCUUGUAUUACGGAACGAGUAAAGAGACUUGCCGGUAACGAGAUUGAAAUAGGUAUACGGAUACCGACGAUCGAAUCUUGGGCAAGUAACAUACGGAAGGACAAAGGGAAUGACAUACGGGAUUAUAUGAAUCCCUGGAACUGAGGUUCAACCGAUAAGAUCUUCGGAGAAUAUGUAGGACCCAAUAUGGGCAUCCAGGUCCCGCUAUUGGAUAUUGACCGAGGAGUGUCUCGGGUCAUGUCUACAUAGUUCUCGAACCCGCAGGGUCUGCACACUUAAGGUUCGAUGAUGUUUUAGUAUAGUUGAGUUAUAUGUGUGGUUGCUGAAUGUUGUUCAGAGUCCCGGAUAAGAUCACAGACGCCACGAGGGUUUCCAGAAUGGUCCGGAAACAAAGAUUGAUAUAUAGGAUGGUUUCAUUUGGUCAUCGGAAAGUUUCGGGCGUUACGACAGUGUACCCGGAGUGACGAAUGGGUUUCGGGUAUUCACUGGGAGGGGCCCACCCACUCGAGAGUGAGCCGAGUGACCCUAGGGUGGUGCACCAGCCCUUAGUGGGCUGGUGAGGCCAGCCCAAUAGGGCCAUGGCACCACAAGUGGAAAAACACCAAAGGAAAGGAAAAAAGGACAGAGGGAGGUGGGAAGGAAGGUGUGGACUCCUUCCCCCAAACCGAAUUGGGGUGGGAGUCCACCUCCUCCCCUUCAAUCGACGCAGCUUGGGGCUCCUUGAUCCCCAAGGCUAGCCCCUCCCCUCCUCCUAUAUAUACUGGUGGUUUUAGGGCUUUUGAGACACAACUUUGCCACCUGCAACUCAAACCUAUACCACAUAGUUUUACCUCUAGAUCGGAUUUCUGCGGAGCUCGGGCGGAGCCGUGCAGGAGUAGAUCAUCACCACCACCAGAGCGCCGUCACGCUGCCGGAGAACUCAUCUACUUCUCCGUCUCUCUUGCUCGAUCAAGAAGGUCGAGAUCGUCAUCGAGCUGUACGUGUGCUGAACACGGAGGUGUCGUCCGUUCGGCGCUAGAUCGGAACGGAUCGUGGGACAGAUCGUGGGAUGACGGUGAUUUGAAUCACGAAGUUGUACCACUACAUCAACCGCAUUUCUUAACGCUUUCUACUUAGCGAUCUACAAGGGUACGUAGAUCUAAUCUCCUCUCGUAGAUGGACAUCACCAUGAUAGGUCUUCGUGUGCGUAGGAAUUUUUUGUUUCCCAUGCAACCUUCCCCAACAGUGGCAUCAUGAGCUAGGUUCAUGCGUAGAUGUUAUCUCGAGUAGAACAAAAGGUUUUGUGGACGUUGAUGUUCGAUUUUCUGCCCUCCUUAGUCUUUUCUCGAUUCGGCAGUAUUGUUGGAUUGAAGCGGCCCGGACCGACAUUACUCGUACGCUUACGAGAGACUGGUUUCAUCGACUGACAUGCAACUCGUUGCAUAAAGAUGACUAGCGGGUGUCGGUUUCUUCAACUUUAGUUGAAUUGGUUUUGACCGAGGCGGUCCUUGGAGAGAGGUUAAAUAGCAAUUUGCACAUCUCCGUUGUGGUUUUUGCGUAAGUAAGAUGCAAUCAUACUACAUACCCAUAGCAGCCACGUAAAACAUGCAACAACAAAUUAGAGGACGUCUAACUUGUUUUUGAAGGGUAUGCUUGUGAUAUGAUAUGGCCAAUGACGUGAUGUAAUAUAUUGGAUGUAUGACAUGAUCAUGUUGUAAAAGUUAAUAUCUACUUGCACGUCGAAUCUACGGUAACCAGCAAAAGCCAUAGGGUUGUCUUUAAACUAAUGUUUGUGUUUGCAGAUGCGUUUACUAUAUUGCUAGGUUGUAGCUUUAGUAGUAAUAGCAUAGAUAUCACGACAACCUCAAUGGCGGCACGAUGAUGGAGAUCAUGAUGAUGGAGAUCAUGGUGUGGCGCCGGUGACAAGAAGAUCAUGUUGGUGCUUUGGUUAUGGAGAUCAAGAAGCACAAGAUGAUGGCAUGUCACUUAUGAAUUGCAUGUGAUGUUAAUCCUUUUAUGCACCUUAUUUUGCUUAGAACGACGGUAGUAUUAUAAGGGGAUCUCUUACUAAAAUUUCAAGAUGAAAUUGUGUCUCCCCGACUGUGCACCGUUGCGACAGUUCAUCAUUUCGAGACACCACGUGAUGAUCGGGUGUGAUAGACUCAACGUUCACAUACAACGGGUCCAAAACAGUUGCACAAGCGGAACACUCGGGUUAAACUUGACAAGCCUAGAAUGUGCAGACAUGGCCUCGGAACACAUGAGACCGAAAGGUCGAGCAUGAAUCGUAUAGUUGAUAUGAUUAGCAUAGAGAUGCUUACCACUGAAACUAUUCUCAACUCACGUGAUGAUCGGACUUGAGUUAGUGAAUUUGGAUCAUGUACCACUCAAAUGACUAGAGAGAUGUACUUUUUGAGUGGGAGUUUAUCAGUAAUUUGAUUAGUUAAACUCUAAUUAUCUUAAACAUAGUCUAAGUUCACUUUGCAAUAUUUGUGUUGUAGAUCAAUGGCUCACGCAGUAGCAACCCUGAAUUUUAAUACGUUCCUAGAGAAAGCUAAGUUCAAAGAUGAUGGAAGCAACUUUGUAGACUAGGCUCGUAAUCUAAAGUUGCACCUGCAAGCUGGGAAGAAGGAUUAUGUCCUUAAUGUUGCGCUAGGAGAUGAACCACCCGCUAUGUCUAGCCAAGAUGUUUUGAACGCCUGGUUAACACGUAAGGAGGACUACUCAAAAGUUCAAUCUGUAGUCUUGUAUGGCUUGGAACCGGGACUUCAAUGUCGCUUUGAGCAUCAUGGAGCAUAUGAGAUGUUCCAGGAGUUGAAGUUUAUCUUUCAUAAGAACGCCCAGAUCGAGAGGUAUGAGACCUCCGAUAAAUUCUAUGCUUGCAAGAUGGAGGAGAAUUCGUAUGUCAGUGAACAUGUGCUCAAAAUGUUUGGGUACUCAAAUCGUCUAGCUGAGCUGGGGAUUGAACUCCCGCAAGAGGCUAUCACUGACAAAAUUCUUCAAUCAUUGCCACCUAGCUAUAAGAGCUUUGGGUUGAACUAUAACAUGCAAUGGAUGAACAAGUCACCUGACGAGUUAUUCGCGAUGCUGAAAGUCGCAGAGGCGGAACUCCGAAAAGAGCAUCAAGUGUUGAUGGUCAAUAAGACCACUGGUUUCAAGAGAAACGGCAAAGGCAAGAAGGGUAACUCCAAGAAGAGUGGCAAGCGUGUUGCCAAUCCGACGAAGAAACCCAAGGCUGGACCUAAUCCUGAAACAGAGUGUUAUUAUUGGGAAUGGGUCACUGGAAGCGCAACUGCCCCAAGUAUUUGGCUGAUAAGAAUGCGGCCAAGGAAAAAUUAGGUAUAUUUGAUAUACAUGUUAUUGAAGUGUACUUAACCAACUCUCGUAGUAGUGCAUGGGUAUUUGAUACCGGUUCUGUUGCUCAUAUUUGCAACUCGAAGCAGGAACUGCGGAAUAAACGAAGGCUGGCGAAGGAUGAAGUGACGAUGCGCGUGGGAAAUGGUUCCAAGGUUGAUGCAAUCGCCGUUGGCAUAGUCUCACUUCAGUUACCAUCAGGAUUAGUUAUGAACUUAAAUAAUUGUUAUUUAGUGUCUGUGUUAAGCAUGAACAUUAUAUUUGGAUCUUGUUUAUUGCACCGUCCGGGAAUCGCAGGGGCGGCGAGAGAGUUUGGUUGUGGAUGUGAUGAUGGCGGGGGUGAGCUUGGAUUGUGUUAUUCAUUAUCUCUUCAUAGGUUGCAGGCUUCGAGGGUCCGUGACGUGGUCGCCGGAGCGAGAGGGUAUCGGGUUCCCCUCUACGAUGCCAACGGUAUACCUUUUGGUAGGAGCCAUGUGCUUUGGAGAUUCAAGUUCUCGCGUUUGACCUGCUCAUAGUUGUGCCCCUUGCUUCUGUGACUAUGACCGGUAGCUCUCGCCCUUCGGUGUGUCUACGCCACAGACGACGACGAUGCUCGUGAGUACCGUGUCCCGGGCUUGUGGGUGUGCUCUACUUACUUCUUCCUAUUCAGCUUGGAUGCCAACCAUUUGGGUUCUAGGGUGAACCAAGCUGUCGGAUGUCGGUGCUGCAUCCUUUGAGCCAGGAUGAAAGGGAAGGUUCCCUUUGCAGCGGCGGUAACAAAUGGUGGUCUGGUCCAUUUCUGUCUUCGAGGGUGGUUGUGAUCACGAAGCUUGCGCGAUUAUGCAUUCUUCCCUAGCACAGAGUUUAGUUUUGUUGGUGUAGGUCGUCCUGUAGGAUGUUAGCUGCAGUGUGGUGAUGUUUCGGCCCGCUUUUGUUGUUGCCUUCAGUAGUUGUGGCCUUUAUGAACUUGUGGCGUUUCAUGGCCGCAAAAUCUAAGUACUGAAUAGGAAGAAUAGGGUCACUAGACUGCGAUGACACACUACACUUAGAUAAACGGGAGGCAUAAAUCCUGCCAUAAAAAUGGCCGCUGUCAGAGUUGCAUUGCAAUGUGCAUGCUAGGAUUGCUCCAAGAUUAUAGCAUUUAAUUACAGUUAGCACAAUAUGUAGGAGACUCAAGUCUGGGGCACAUAAGGUACUACAAUCCUGCUUGCCCACUAUGCAUUUUCCAUUAAAGAGUGCAAGGUAACAAAUUGAAGGAGUAUGCAUGCUAUUUAUUCUACCUUUAGUUACUCCCCUAUCCUCACUAAAGCAAAGACUAGUUAAAAAUGCAUCAUAUUUGGAUUUUGGUGGUUCGCCUAGAGAACCCCAAGAUGGAAUUUUACAUGCAUGAGAUAAAUCAUCUAGAGACAAGGUGAAGGCAUUAUCAUAGAGGUUAAAGGAGACUCUAAAUCUUCGAGGAUAAAAUUUAAACCCCUUAGUGAAAGUUUUGGUAUGAUAAUGUUGCGCGCACUUAUCUGAGAUGAAGGGUGCGAGAUCAGUAUUAUGAAUGUAUUGUUCAAACUCUUCCCUAAUGCCCGCGCACAACAUGAAGCCAUCACUUGGCCAAAGGCACGAUUUGGUGUGGGCUUCUCGCAUCAAGCUUUCACUUGGCUCAGCAUAAGACCGUUGUAUCGGAGCCUCACUCGAAGAUGCCUCCGAGGACUUCCUCCUCAAAGAAUUCCUCUUGAACCAUCUCAUUAUUCCUAUGUACAAAUUUUUGAAUUUUUUGGGUCACAACAUAAAGUUAACAAAACUUCACAAGAAUGAUUGCAACUACUCAUAAGGAUGCCUAGAGCCUAAAACAAGCAUUCAAACUACUUGGAACUUCAAGAAUUUGACAUGCAAGCUCAUCUACAGCAGCACCUAGAGUAUCUAAUUACUUCUUAGAUAAACUACUAAAUCAAGAACUAAUUCGAGGAGUGGGGAAGUUUCAUACCAAGGAGUAAUCCCCCAAAACAGUUUCAGAAAUGGAGUUUCGAGCAAAGAGAUCAAAACCCGCGAGUUUGAGAGCAAGAACACGGGAGAGAGAGAUACAAGGAUUUUUCGUGGAGGUAGGUCAUGAAGUGAGCUGAAGGGAUAAGUGAGGGGACCCCGAGGGGUCCACUACCCACUAGGGCGCGCCUCGUGGGGGUGGCGCGCCUCGUGGGGGUGGCGCGCCCUGGUGUCUAGUGGACACCUCGGACACCCCCCCUGUGAUGUUUUUAGUGCCACAUAUUCUCAAAUAUUCAGAAAAAAAAUCAUGUGAAAGUUUCAGGUCAUUUGGAGAACUUUUAUUUUGGGCACUUUUUAUUGCACAAAAGAUUUUAAAAAAAAGAUAAGCAUGGCAUUUAUUGUAUUUAAAUAAAAAUAACAUGAAAAUAAAGUGGGUAUAGAAAGUUGUGCCUACUAAAUUCAUCGACCUCAUGCCUCUCGAAAAUGAUCCAUUAACAAGGUUGAUCAAGUCUUAUUAACAACCACUUCCAAUUAGCAUGAACCCGAAGAAUUUUCGUAAAACACUAAGUUACCUCAACGGGGAUGUGCAUAUCCCCAACAAUAAGUAUUUCAUAUUUAUUUUUGGUUGUAGGUAGAGGUAGUUGAAAACUUCCAUUGGUUAUAGUCGGAGAUUUUUCAAUAACAUUAACACCAUUCACUUGGAAUUGUUUCCUCGGAAAAUGCACUGUAUGUUCUUUACCAUUGACAUGUUAAGUGACUUUGCUUUUAUUGCAAUCAAUAAUAUCCCGUGUAGUAUUUAAGAAAGGUCUACGAAGGAUAAUCGACAUGUUGUCAUCCUCAUGCAUAUCAAGUAUAACAAAGUCUGUCAAGAUAGUAACAUUUGCAACAACAACGGGUACAUCCUCACAAAUACCAAUAGGUAUGGCACUUGAUUUGUCACCCAUUUGCAAUGAAAUUUCAGUAGGUGUGAGUUUAUUCAAGUCAAGUCUUUUGAAUAAAGAGACAUGCAUAAUACUAACACCACCUCCUAGAUCACAUAAAGCAGUUUUCACAUAGUUUCUUUUGAUGGAACAUGGUACAGUUGGUAUUCCUGGAUCUCCUAGUUUUUUUGGUACUCCAUCCUUAAAAUAGUAAUUAGCAAGCAUGAUGUAGAUUUGAGAUUCAAGUAUUUUCCUUUUAUUAGUGAUGAUACCUUUCAUAUACUUAGCAUAAGGGGGCAUAUUUAAAAGAUCAGUUAAACGAGUACGCAAAAGACUGGCUUAAGCAUUUCAGCAAAGCGUUCAAAUUCUUCAUCAUCUUUUUUCUUAGUUGGUUUAGGUGGAUAAGGCAUGCAUUUUUGAACCCAUGGCUCUCUUUCUUUGACAUGCUUUCUAGCAAAAAAAUCUCUUAGGUUGUGGGUUAUCAAGAUCAACAAUAGGGUUUGUCUCAACAUCAUUAUCUGGUUCUUUAUCAUUAUUAGGUUGAGCAUGUACAUGAGCAUCAUCAUUAUCAUUUUCAUUAUCACUAGGUGAAUGCUCACUACCAUAUUGAGUUUCAGCAUCACAAAUAGAGAUAUCAUUUGCAUUAUCAGAAGGUUUUUCCGCUUCAGGUUCACUAGAAGUAUGCAAGAUCCUAUCAUUUUUCUUUUUAUUUUUCCUCCUAGAAGGACUAGGUGUAUCAAUAUUAAUUCUUUGUAAAUCUUGUUCAUUUCUUUUAGGAUGGCCUUCUGGAUAUAGUGGAUCUUGAGUCAUUGUUCCUCCUCUAGUCAUUACUCUAACAACAUGAUCAUUCAUAUUAUUAUUCAUUUCAUGAAGUAGCUCACUUUGGGAUUUAGCAACUUGUUAUAGUUGGGUUUGAACCAUAGAAGCAUGUGAAAAGGACGUGGAUGUCGCCUAGAGGGGGGGUGAAUAGGCGCUUUAAAAUAGUUAAGGUUUAGGCUUGAACAAAUGCGGAAUAAAACUAACGUUUAAUAUGUCAAGCACAAAACCCAAAAAACAACUAGGCUCACCUAUGUGCACCAACAACUUAUGCUAAGCAAGAUAAACAACUAAGUGAUAGCAAGAUAUAUUACAAUAAACAAUAUGUCUAUCACAAAGUAAAGUGCAUAAGUAAAUGGUUCGGGUAAGAGAUAACCGAGGCACGGGGAGACGAUGAUGUAUCCCAAAGUUCACACCCUUGCGGAUGCUAAUCUCCGUUAGAGCGGUGUGGAGGCACAAUGCUCCCCAAGAUGCCACUAAGGCCACCGUAAUCUCCUCACGCCCUCGCACAAUGCAAGGUGCCGUAAUUCCACUAAGGGACCCUUGAGGGCGGUCACCGAACCCGUACAAAUGGCAACCCUUGGGGGUGGUCACCGAACCCGUACAUGUGGCAACCCUUGGGGGCGGUUACCGGUACCCGUACAAAUUGCUCGGGGCAAUAUCCACAACCUAAUUGGAGACCCCGACGCUUCCCGGAGCUUCACACCACACUGAUUGAGCUCCGAGACACCACCAAGCUUCUAGGACGCCAAAGCAUCCACGAAGAACAAUAUCAAGGGUACUAAGUACCAAAGGUAGCAAGCUUCUCAACUUCUCACUUCCACGUAUCACCGUGGAGAACUCAAACCGAUGCAACUAAUGCAAUGGCAAGAACACACGAAGUGGUCAAGUCCCUCACACUCAAAUCCCUCCACAACACCAAAAGCUAUGGAGAAAUAUGAGAGGAAGAACAAGGAGCUCACAAAGAACUCCAAGAUCAAGAUCCAAGGGGUUCCCCUCACAUAGAGGAGAAAGUGAUUGGUGGAGAUGUGGAUCUAGAUCUCCUCUCUCUUUUCCCUCAAGAACAAGCAAGAAUCAUUGGAGGGAUAGAGAGUAAUCAAGCUCUAAGAAUGUCAACAAUGGAGGUAGAACAAGAGCUCAACGGAUGGAUAAGACCAAGGGGGAAGAAGACCCCCUUUAUAUAGUGGGGGAAAGAAUCAGACUGUUACCCCCACUCUCUGCCCGAGCUCCAGCGGUACUACCGCUGGCUGCAGCGGUACUAGUGGGGGAAAGAAUCAGACUGUUACCCCCACUCUCUGCCCGAGCUCCAGCGGUACUACCGCUGGCUGCAGCGGUACUACCGCUGGCACUCCAGCGGUACUACCGCCAGCUAGCGGUACUACCGCUGGCUGCAGCGGUACUACCGAUGGCACUCCAGCGGUACUACCGCUGGCCCCAGCGGUACUACCGCUGGGCCCCUGGUAGUGCAAGGGCACUACCACCGCGAAGAAAGUCUUCACAAAAAGGUCCGUCCACGAACAACCGCUAGGCAGGCGGUACUAAGAUCCUGGAGCGGUACUACCGUUGACCAGGGGCGGUACUACCGCUAGGGCCAGCGGUACUACCGCCAACUCUAGCGGUACUACCGCUAGGUCCAGCGGUACUACCGCUCGCCACUGAAACAACCAUAACUUUUGCAUACGAGCUCCGAAUCGAGCAAACCCAAGCUUGUUGGAUUCAGGACGACAAGGGCUAUCCAAACAGCGACCCAAGCUUGUUNNNNNNNNNNNNNNNNNNNNNNNNNNNNNNNNNNNNNNNNNNNNNNNNNNNNNNNNNNNNNNNNNNNNNNNNNNNNNNNNNNNNNNNNNNNNNNNNNNNNGGAUGGGAGGGGGGGGGGAGGGCGCGACGACGACGGCUAGGGUUAUCGCCUUAGAGGAGACGACGCGGGGAGGGGUGAGGGGAGUGUGUGAAUCACCAUCAUUAGCAAUGACAUAUGUGACACAUUAGUAAAAGAAUAAAAUCCACACCCGCCUUUCUUUUUUUUGAGCCGGUGUGCUCGUCGCCGUGGCACCACCUAUUUCUGCUCCGGGCGAAGUGGCUGUGCACGAGUCCAUCACGUCACGUCACGCACGCGGGGCGCGCGGCCAGGCUGUGCUGGGAGCUUCGUCCCCCUCCACUCCCGUCAGCUCCCCCGGCCCUCCCCCCGCCCCGCCCCGCCCCGCCCCCACUCCGCCGCCGACGUAAGCACCACCCAGCAGCCUCCCCUCCCCUCAAGAUCCAAGCCACGCUCGCCCGCUCGCCCCGCGCAAUGCCCCGCUCCUGACCAUGUCCUCGCUCUCGAUCCCGCCUCCGCUCCUGCGCUCCUCGCCGUCUCCGUCUCCACCCGCGAAUUGGAGGAGGCGCGCGGCGCGCGUGCGGGUGCGCGCUCCGGUGGCGGCACUGGCCGGCGACGGCGGGUGCGCGGGGACCGGGAUGGAGCAGCAGCACCUCCAGGCAGGGAGCGCCUCCGGCAGCCCAG